rnacentral:rRNA from 1 species
GGGGCUUUUAGAGCCGACGCUACUUAAAACCAUCGCGAACUCGUCCAAGUUGCUUCGGCGGCGCGGCCCCCCUCACGGGGGCGCCGCAGCCCCGCCUCUCCGGAGGUGUGGGGCGCCCGCCGGAGGUACGAAACUCUGUAUUAUAGUGGCAUCUCUGAGUAAAAAACAAAUAAGUUAAAACUUUCAACAACGGAUCUCUUGGUUCUGGCAUCGAUGAAGAACGCAGCGAAAUGCGAUAAGUAAUGUGAAUUGCAGAAUUCAGUGAAUCAUCGAAUCUUUGAACGCACAUUGCGCCCGCUAGUACUCUAGCGGGCAUGCCUGUUCGAGCGUCAUUUCAACCCUCAAGCCCUGCUUGGUGUUGGGGCCCUACGGCUGCCGUAGGCCCUGAAAGGAAGUGGCGGGCUCGCUACAACUCCGAGCGUAGUAAUUCAUUAUCUCGCUAGGGACGUUGCGGCGCGCUCCUGCCGUUAAAGACCAUCUUUAACUCAAGGUUGACCUCGGAUCAGGUAGGAAUACCCGCUGAACUUAAGCAUAUCAAUAAGCGGAGGAA